rnacentral:rRNA from 1 species
AGUAAUACAUAGAUAAUCUGCCCUUAAGUUGGGGAUAACUAUUUGAAAAGAUAGCUAAUACCGAAUACGCUCAAAGAAUCAUAAGGUUUUUUGAGGAAAGAUUUAUUGCUUAAGGAUGAGUCUGUGUCUGAUUAGUUAGUUGGUGGGUUAAAGGCCUACCAAGGCUACGAUCAGUAGCUGGUCUGAGAGGACGAACAGCCACACUGGAACUGAGAUACGGUCCAGACUCC